AGAGUUUGAUCCUGGCUCAGAUUGAACGCUGGCGGCAUGCUUUACACAUGCAAGCCGAACGGUAACAGGUCUUCGGAUGCUGACGAGUGGCGAACGGGUGAGUAAUACAUCGGAACGUGCCUAGUAGUGGGGGAUAACUACUCGAAAGAGUAGCUAAUACCGCAUGAGAUCUACGGAUGAAAGCAGGGGACCUUCGGGCCUUGUGCUACUAGAGCGGCUGACGGCAGAUUAGGUAGUUGGUGGGGUAAAGGCUUACCAAGCCUGCGAUCUGUAGCUGGUCUGAGAGGACGACCAGCCACACUGGGACUGAGACACGGCCCAGACUCCUACGGGAGGCAGCAGUGGGGAAUUUUGGACAAUGGGCGAAAGCCUGAUCCAGCAAUGCCGCGUGCAGGAUGAAGGCCCUCGGGUUGUAAACUGCUUUUGUACGGAACGAAAAGCCUGGGGCUAAUAUCCCCGGGUCAUGACGGUACCGUAAGAAUAAGCACCGGCUAACUACGUGCCAGCAGCCGCGGUAAUACGUAGGGUGCAAGCGUUAAUCGGAAUUACUGGGCGUAAAGCGUGCGCAGGCGGUUUUGUAAGACAGUGGUGAAAUCCCCGGGCUCAACCUGGGAACUGCCAUUGUGACUGCAAGGCUAGAGUGCGGCAGAGGGGGAUGGAAUUCCGCGUGUAGCAGUGAAAUGCGUAGAUAUGCGGAGGAACACCGAUGGCGAAGGCAAUCCCCUGGGCCU
rnacentral:rRNA from 1 species